rnacentral:lncRNA from 1 species
AAAUGGGAAAGAGUUAGUUGAUAAUACAUGUUGUCUCUAUUUAGUUUGUGGUCAAUGUGUAUUUUUAUUGGAAAUCCUUAAUUAGUUAGAUUUGAUGUAGCUAUCUUAGAUUGAAUUCUUAAUGUGUCGAUGUAGCUGUCUUAGACUGAAUUUUUAUGUGUCUUCACUAAUAAAAAAAAAUGCAAAAUGCAGAACUACUGAUACUGCCUGUUUCAUCUUGAGCAGUAUCCAAACCAACUUAAUGCAGUAUGUUGGAAAAUCCUACUACCCAACCAACAUUAGGAAGUUAAGCAGAUUCUUUACCAACUUUAAGUACUAAAGAAACACAAAGUAUAGAACUAUAGAAGAGUGCUUAUUUGAAGAUGCAGGGGACAGUUAGAUUGACUUGAUCAUCAGAUCUGACUUCUGACAAUACGACUUUUGCAACUAUUCUUUUCUAGUAUGUAAGCUCAACAUUCAGAUUAGCACAUUCAAAUCUGUUUUCUGACAAUAUGACUUUUGCAACUAUUCUUUGUAGUAUGUAAGCACAUUCAAAUUGAGCAUGCAAUUGGU